CCUACGGGUGGUAGCAGUGAGGAAUAUUGGUCAAUGGACGCAAGUCUGAACCAGCCAUGCCGCGUGCAUGAUGACGGCCCUAUGAGUUGUAAACUGCUUUUUUACGAGGGUAAACGCUGAUACGUCCAUCUGUCUGAACGUAUCCUACGUAUAAGGCUCGGCCAACUCCGUGCCGGCAGCCGCGGUAAUACGGAGGAUUCAAGCGUCAUCCGGAUUUAGUGGGUGUAAUGGGUGCGUAGGCGGUCGGAUAAGUUAGAGGUGAAAUCCCGAGGCUCAACUUCGGAAUUGCCUCUGAUACUGUUGGGCUAGAGAGUAGUAGCGGUAAGCGGAAUGUAUGGUGUAGCGGUGAAAUGCUUAGAGAUCA
rnacentral:rRNA from 1 species